GACGAGCCACCCAAACGUUAUUCGGAAUCACUGGGCGUAAAGGGAGCGUAGGCGGCGCGGCAAGUCAGAUGUGAAAUCCCGGGGCUCAACCCCGGAACUGCAUCCGAUACUGCCGUGCUUGAGGGUUGGAGAGGCAGCUGGAAUUCUCGGUGUAGCAGUGAAAUGCGUGGAGAUCGAGAGGAACACUCGUGGCGAAAGCGAGCUGCUGGACAACAUCUGACGCUGAGGCUCGAAGGCCAGGGUAGCGAAAGGG
rnacentral:misc_RNA from 1 species